CCCAGUUUGCUUUGCAUACCCAGAAGAUAAAGACGGUAGCAUUUCCAAGCCUUCUGCAGAGCAUUUUUGUCCAAACUCAAAUUUCGGCACUUUUCAAAUAUAGAGGAUUCCUAGUUUCAGUUGCUGAUCUCUCAAACCGAGAAGCAUGAAGAUGAGUGGCAGAGUAUCACAGUAAGAAGCGGGUGGAUUUUCUGUACACAUAAGUUAGCAUAUGUUCUCGCAUGAACCAUCCUCCAAUGUCUAGUCCAACAACAUUCCCCAUGGAGUAUGGAGAAUGUAAUUUAAAUGAUUAAAUUGGUAUUUUCUUAUCAGUUUAUUCAGUUUUUUAGAUAAUCAAUUAUUUUGGC